GCGUGAUCAAUCAAGGGCACACGGUGGAUGUCUUGGCGUCAAGAGACGAUGAAGGACGUAGGAACCUGCGAUAAGCCCAGGGGAGUUGGUAACCGAACAUUGAUCCUGGGAUUUCCGAAUGGGGCAACCC
rnacentral:rRNA from 1 species